GGCCUGGUUGGAUGGUCUGCCUUUGGGCAUGUACUGUCCUGACUGGGUCUUACCUUCUGGUGAGCUGUCGUGCUGCUUGCAGUGCGGCAGGGAACCAGGACUUUUACUUUGAAAAAAUUAGAGUGUUUAAAGCAGGCAUUCGCUUGAAUACAUUAGCAUGGAAUAAUAAAAUAGGACUUUGGUUCUAUUUUGUUGGUUUCUAGGACCGAAGUA
rnacentral:rRNA from 1 species